rnacentral:rRNA from 1 species
AACGAACGCUGGCGGCAGGCCUAACACAUGCAAGUCGAACGCUCGUAGCAAUACGGGAGUGGCAGACGGGUGAGUAACGCGUGGGAACGUACCUUUCGGUUCGGAAUAACCCGGGGAAACUCGGGCUAAUACCGGAUACGUCCUGCCCCUUAAACAAGGGUGGGAGAAAGAUUUAUCGCCGAAAGAUCGGCCCGCGUCGGAUUAGCUAGUUGGCGGGGUAACGGCCCACCAAGGCGACGAUCCGUAGCUGGUCUGAGAGGANGAUCAGCCACACUGGGACUGAGACACGGCCCAGACUCCUACGGGAGGCAGCAGUGGGGAAUAUUGGACAAUGGGCGAAAGCCUGAUCCAGCCAUGCCGCGUGAGUGAAGAAGGCCUUAGGGUUGUAAAGCUCUUUCAGCGGGAAGAUAAUGACGGUACCCGCAGAAGAA